AUUGAACGCUGGCGGAAUGCUUUACACAUGCAAGUCGAACGGCAGCACGGGGUACUCCCUGGUGGCGAAUGGCGAACGGGCGAGUAAUACACCGGAACGUGCCCUGUCGUGGGGGAUAACGUAGCGUAAGUUACGCUAAUAUCGCAUACGAUCUGAGGAUGAAAGCGGGGGUCCUUCGGUGAUCGCGCGAUCUGAGCGGCCGAUGUCAGAUUAGGUAGUUGGUGGGGUAAAGGCCUACCAAGCCGACGAUCUAUAGCUGGUCGGAGAGGACGACCGGCCACACUGGGACUGAGACACGGCCCAGACUCCUACGGGAGGCAGCAGUGGGGAAUUUUGGACAAUGGGCGCAAGCCUGACCCAGCAAUUCCGCGUGCAGGACGAAGGCCUUCGGGUUGUAAACUGCUUUUGUAGGGAACGAAAAGGCUCUGGCUAAUACCUGGGGCUCAUGACGGUACCGUAAGAAUAAGCAACGGCUAACUACGUG
rnacentral:rRNA from 1 species